rnacentral:rRNA from 1 species
AAUUUUGUCUCAUCACGUGAAAACUCACCGGUUCCGGACAUAGUAAAGGAGUGACAGAUUGAUGGCGCUUUCAUGAUUCUAUGGGGUGGGUGGUGCAUGGCCGUUCUUAGUUGGGUGGAAGUGAUUUGGUCUGGUUAAUUUCCGAUAACGAACGAGACCUUGAACCUGCUAAAUAGACGGGUUGACAUUUUGUUGGCCCCUUAUGUCUUCUUAGAGGGACAAUCGACCGUCUAGGUGAUGGAGGCAAAAGGCAAUAACAGGUCUGUGAUGCCCUUAGAUGUUCCGGGCUGCACGCGCGCUACACUGACAGAGUCAACGAGUGGGGCCCCUUGUCCGAAAUGACUGGGUAAACUUGUGAAACUUUGUCGUGCUGGGGAUGGAGCUUUGUAAUUUUUGCUCUUCGACGAGGAAUUCCUAGUAAGCGCAAGUCAUCAGCUUGCGUUGACUACGUCCCUGCCCUUUGUACACACCGCCCGUCGCUACUACCGAUUGAAUGGCUUAGUGAGGACUUGGGAGAGUACAUCGGGGAGCCAGCAAUGGCACCCUGACGGCUCAAAUUUUUACAAACUGGUCAUUUAGAGGAAAUCGAAUCCCGCGGCC